CAGCUCCUCGUCUUCAAAUGGUAAACCCGUCCAAUAGCAGUUCGACAACCAAACAUCUUGGUGAACAGACUUACAUGCAAUGUGAAGGGGAAGGCUUUCCGGCACCUCUUAUCGCAUGGACGAAAGAUGGCGCUAUACUACCUGGUGAUCAUACAAACAUUGCUGUACAGACAAUUGGUGGACCGCAAGAGAAUCAAGCCACUGGAUGGCUGCUCAUAUCCCCAGUCACACAGGCGGAUGUCGGGGAAUACACCUGCGAGGUGACGAACGGUGAGGGCGACAUUCUCCGAGCUUCUAUGUUUCUUGACGUUACAGAUCCGUAGACUAAUACACUGAGAACUGGAUUGAGAAAUGUCAGCAAAAUAUGAUAUCAGAGAGAAGGAAGAUAAAUUCUUUGGAAUGCGGAAUGUCAGCUUAGAAGUCAUUAUUUUACUCAUACCUUCUGGUUAAACUCAUGCAUGCGAUGUUUGCAGCACAAUCUAAAGUAAUUCAAUAUUCAUAUCCAUGGCAUCCAGGAAUCUGUUGUUCUCUGUGAUUUUGCCACUGCCCUAAUAAACCUUUUUGGCCUACUUAAUAAGUGUUUUUCGAAGAAAUUAAUCCUGGAAUGGUUACCUGUCAUGCUAAGCCAAAUUUAAUCGAGAGAAUAGUUGUGGAUUAUGAAAAUCUGUUGAUCUUUUCUUUGAUACAUAUCAGUGCCAUAAUAUCCUUGCUUACAGUAUUACACAAUCCUAUAUAUCUAUCUUUCUUUAUGAUAGAACGACAUAUCAUAGGAAUUUCAGAAAAUGACAUUAAAUAGGAAAGUGCACAAAUAUAUCAUAAGUGGCUUAGAAUAGUGCUGUUUGCAUUACAUUAAUAACGUCAUAGGCCUAUUUAAUAUUAAUCUGCAGGCACAGACAGACCCUGAUUGAAACUUUGAUCAACAAGUGUGUCUCCACGCAAAGACUAGCGCAUACAAAACUUGCUUUGAUGGCCUUCAGUACACAAGGCAUGAGUAGGCUGCACAUUCAGACCCUGAACUCGAGUGAAGGGUUUGCACAGCAGGACUAAUUUAAUAUCGCCAUGAAGCUUGUUUGUUUAUUUAUUGUCAAUUAAAAUCCUUCAUAGAUUUUGUGA